rnacentral:rRNA from 1 species
UACGUAGGGUGCGAGCGUUGUCCGGAAUUAUUGGGCGUAAAGGGCUCGUAGGCGGUUUGUCGCGUCGGGAGUGAAAACCUUGGGCUUAACUCAGGGCUUGCUUUCGAUACGGGCAGACUAGAGGUAUGCAGGGGAGAACGGAAUUCCUGGUGUAGCGGUGAAAUGCGCAGAUAUCAGGAGGAACAUCGGUGGCGAAGGCGGUUCUCUGGGCAUGAUCUGGCGCUGAGGAGCGAAAGUGUGGGGAGCGAACAGG